GAAGGUAUAGCUCAAGUGGUAGGGCAUAUGCUUAGCACGCGCAGGGUCCUGGGUUCGAUCCCCAGCACCUCCU
rnacentral:tRNA from 1 species